rnacentral:rRNA from 1 species
UACGGAGGGUGCGAGCGUUGUCCGGAAUCACUGGGCGUAAAGGGCGCGUAGGCGGCGCGGGGAGUCAACGGUGAAAGCUCGGCGCUCAACGCCGAGUCGGCCGUCGAUACUCCCCGUGCUCGAGCACUGUAGAGGCAGGUGGAAUUCCGGGUGUAGCGGUGGAAUGCGUAGAGAUCCGGAAGAACACCGGUGGCGAAGGCGGCCUGCUGG